AAUAGAUACCCUGGUAGUCCACCCCGUAAACGUUGGGAACUAGUUGUGGGGACCAUUCCACGGUUUCCGUGACGCAGCUAACGCAUUAAGUUCCCCGCCUGGGAAGUACGGCCGCAAGGCUAAAACUCAAAGGAAUUGACGGGGACCCGCACAAGCGGCGGAGCAUGCGGAUUAAUUCGAUGCAACGCGAAGAACCUUACCAAGGCUUGACAUAUACGAGAACGGGCCAGAAAUGGUCAACUCUUUGGACACUCGUAAACAGGUGGUGCAUGGUUGUCGUCAGCUCGUGUCGUGAGAUGUUGGGUUAAGUCCCGCAACGAGCGCAACCCUCGUUCUAUGUUGCCAGCACGUAAUGGUGGGAACUCAUGGGAUACUGCCGGGGUCAACUCGGAGGAAGGUGGGGAUGACGUCAAAUCAUCAUGCCCCUUAUGUCUUGGGCUUCACGCAUGCUACAAUGGCCGGUACAAAGGGCUGCAAUACCGUAAGGUGGAGCGAAUCCCAAAAAGCCGGUCCCAGUUCGGAUUGAGGUCUGCAACUCGA
rnacentral:rRNA from 1 species